CCUACGGGUGGCAGCAGUAGGGAAUAUUGCUCAAUGGGGGAAACCCUGAAGCAGCAACGCCGCGUGGAGGAUGAAGGUUUUCGGAUUGUAAACUCCUUUUGUUAGAGAAGAUAAUGACGGUAUCUAACGAAUAAGCACCGGCUAACCCCGUGCCAAAAGCCGCGGUAAUACGGAGGGUGCAAGGUUUACUCGGAAUCACGGGGCGAAAAGAGCGCGGAGGCGGGAUAGAAAGUCAGAUGUGAAAUCCUAGGGCUAACCAUAGAACUGCAUUUGAAACUGUUAUUCUAGAGUAUGGGAGAGGUAGGUGGAAUUCUUGGUGUAGGGGUAAAAUCCGUAGAGAUCAAGAGGAAUACUCAUUGCGAAGGCGACCUGCUAGAACAUAACUGACGCUGAUGCGCGAAAGCGUGGGGAGCAAACAGGAUUAGAUACCCUUGUAGUC
rnacentral:rRNA from 1 species